CAGUAUCCCCUGAUUUUCGAUUAAAAAUAAAGAAAAAAAUGAGGGGAUACGGUGGGAUACGUCCGUGACACGGUUGGGAUACGGCCUGGCCCAAUAACAGGCCCAAAACGAAACCCUAUGUUUUACAUGAGUCGCACGCAUCUCUUCCACACAAAAGCGAUGUGCUCCCAGGUAGCAGCCUCUCCUGGAUCGAAGCCGCCACCUCCUGGAUCGAAGCCACCGCCGCCUGGACUCAACGCCGCCGCCGGCGGCGACACCUGCACUCGACCGGCGACUGCUACCCCACAGCACCAGCAGGCAGCAGCCUCUCCUCCCAACGGCAGGUUGCAUGGCAUGGGGGGAUGAGGAUCAAUCAAGGACUUGAUAAAAAGAGACAUCAAAUGGGGCAGGAUUCUCUAUUUUGAUUUCUUUCUCAUUAAUUUUCUGUCUUAACUCUAUAUUACAUGGCAUAUUUUUAUUUUAUUUUAUAUAUACUCGCCGUAUCCCCGAAUGGCUGUUUCUGAAAAAUGCCGUAUCCCGUAUCCCCGUAUGCGUAUCCCCGUCUUUCC